rnacentral:tRNA from 1 species
GGCUGCCUGGCCCAAUGGUUAAGGCGCUUGCCUACGAUGCGGAAUAGCAAGAGAUUCCAGGUUCGAGUCCUGGGGUGGUCG